rnacentral:misc_RNA from 1 species
GUGAAUUAAACAUGCUUGGUGUCUUCGCUUCGGCAGGCCCUUGCUUAAAUCACAUCCUACACCUGUGAACUGUAAGACGUAUGAUGAGGUCUUUGGCCAAGUCAUCGUCUGCCCAUUUUUAACAAACAAUUAAUGUAACAAACGUAGUCUUAUUAUAACCUAAU